GAAGACCACUACGCCUUUGAUGUUCCAUUUUAACCUAUUAAAAAGCAAGGAACUUGGAAAUAAAGUCAUUAAUGUCCCAUUUUAUACCUAGCCACCAAAAAUGGAGCCUCAGAUCUUGAUACAUCUUAAUGCUACUAGGGUGGAUGGCCAAUUUAGAGGCAUGAGCUUCCUUCAUUUGAUAGCAGGUUAGAUCUUAAUCUAGGUAAGAUAGACACCUUUGCCUCGAUGAUUUAAUUGAAGAUUCUGAAUUUCUUCAAGCAUCUUCAACCUUGAAACCAUCAUUUGUGCCAACAAGGUUGAGUUCUUCCUACUAAGAGAAUCAAUAACAACAUUAGCCUUACUGGGAUGGUAUAUGAUCUUGUAGU
rnacentral:lncRNA from 1 species